CGGGGGCAGCCCCACUCAACGCUGGCUUGCCAAUGAACGUGUGUAGGACUAGGAGGACGCGGAUCGCACUGCGCGGCCGCAGCCCUCCUCCGCCGGAAGCACGCGUGCUUGGGAGAGCGGGGCAGCGUACCGGUAGAGCCGGGUGGGAUUUGCUUCGGAGCGAAUGCGCGAUGGAAACCAGCAGGGAGGUUGCGCCCGGCGGCAGCCGGGUCCUGACUCUGUGUACCUGGAAGUCAGUUUUUCAUUGAGUGCAACGGGGCUUCCUCGUGACUGAGUGCCGAAGAGAAGCGGCUCAGCGGUGCUGAAGGACGCCGACAUAGAAGCAGUCUUAACUCCAGGAAUCGUGCUGCAGGAAUAUUGUUGAACCGCCAGGGUCCAGGUACUAUGGCAACCAGGGCCAGUCCCAAAGCCCGAGAGCCAGUAGCCCAGAGGUUGUAAAGUUGCAGCGAUUUGUCGGGGAACAGCUACGUUGAAGAAGGACUGGCUGGUACAAGUUUCCGAUUUAAAGAUGGAGGAGGAGGAAGACAGCAGAGGAAUGCAGAUAUGGGAACGGUUCAGCCCAGGGAUGAAUUUGAGCAGUCUCUUGCGGAAGCUCCCCGGUUUGCUCUUCCUGGGCCUUGGCACGGCUGCGGAGUUCUUUUGGUCGCAUGAUCUGUCCCAGAACCGCGCGACUCCAUUGCUGCUGCUGUGGCUGCUGCUUGUGCAUUUGACGCUGGCGCUGCGGGUAUACAUAGGCUAUAGAGCUUCACCCCCACUUUUGAGGACGAGGAAGGCAUGGCCGGAUCCAUCUUUCCAGCUACAAAGGCCCAGCAACCCUUUUUCGAGAAGAAAGACACGACAAAAGAUUCUGGAAACUACUAAUUCACAGCCAGGUACCAGAACCGUAGAGUUUGAAAGUGACUACGUUGGCCCUGCAUUAUAUGUAAGAGGUCCAGGUGGCUGCUGUUGAAAGGAAAAGCCAUCAGGGUGCCUCUCAGGACCAAACUACAGCUCCCUGCUAUGUUAAGCCUGGGUGAUAUAUCGCCUGGGACCAGUAUGAGGGGCAGACCAUGCUGGUGGUUUCUCUAGGAGGUAUAUCGCUAGUAAAACCACCAGUGUUGCCAAUUCCCUCCACAGGACACAGGAGCGGCAGCAGUUUUGCCAGCGCUAUGCUGAGUGAAACCGCCAUUGCAGUCUGCCCCUCAUACCAGUGCAGAGGGAGAAACAAGACACAAUACAGUGGUGCCUCGCUAGACGAAUGCCCUGUUAGACGAAUUUUCCGCUAUACGAAUAGGUUUUGCGAUCAGAGGUUACCUCG